rnacentral:lncRNA from 1 species
AAAGCGAAAUCCACCAUCUCAUCGAAAGACGGGACACCUUUGCCUCUAUCAGUGUGUGAAGUAUUUUUGUUCUGGAUAACACAAAUAGAUUAUUGAAUAGUUUGCACUAGAAAUCACCUGACAAAUAUGCAUAUAUGCAAUAUUUUUGGUCAUAUCCAAGGUAGUCAUGUCCUCAUCAUCCUCCCCUUCUUGAAAAUAAAGCCGUCCUCGGCGUUGCUUAAUCUGAAAUGUGGCUAACAAAAGAGACAAGGUGUACAUGUUGUAUAUGUAUAUGUCAUCCAUUUUUACUUCCCUUGAUUUUUGCAUAUAUGACACAUGAAUAGAUGAGUAACUUGCAUAGUUCAUAAAAUCUAAAGCCAAAAAAUUAGCACAAGAAGUAGAAGGCAUGAAAAUAUUGCAACUCAGUUUGCACAUAUAAGUGAAGCUCUUAUUCAUUUCAAAAGAUUGACAAUGUUCAUCAUUAAACCAUCCCAACAUUGGUGAAUAAACCUUACUUGCAUCAAAUUUACAUGCUACAACAUGCUUAAAUAAGCAAACAUGCAAUAAGUCAUUCAACACAGAAUCAUCACCAAGAUCAGAGGUCAUAUCAAAAUGAUUAAACAUUGGUUCUUUUGCAUCAAUAGUUAAUUCAAUGGGUGCACUCAAAAUUGUUGGUAUUUCAGUUGUUUGAUCACAUGGCAAAGUCAAAUUAUCAACGUAGUCCUCUAAAAUAGGUGGUGUGAUCAAAGUAGUGGGUAGCUCAUCAGAUGGUGCAUUCAAAUUGACAAGGCAUUCAUCAUUCUCAUGUAGAGAUGGAAGAUCAGUACCUUUGUCAUUACCUCUUAUGAUCAACUCAGAUGAUGUAGCCACUCUCGGGGGCGAUGUGUCACAUGAUGGAGGUGAUGUAGUCCUGACAACAACGGAUGUGGUUGUCAUAGUAUGCCCAGUAGUUGAAGGAACAAUCAUAUCAACUCUUGGAAUGUGCACCGUGCGCUUAUUCUCCUCGUGGCCAACACGUCGUUUUAUUUCCUGUUCAGCUUUGCAAGCAAGAUGAAACAAAUGGUCCAUAGGAUAACACUCUUCAUGAAUUAGUAUCUCUUGAAUAUCACGGUUUAAUCCUCCCCAAAAUCUAUCCAUAAAAUCAUCUUCACUUUCUUCUAAAACGGAAUGCAACAAGGUAGUUUGUAAAUCAUCAUAAUAUUUUGUUACAGUUUCACUACCUUGUUUUAAGUGUUGCAACUUCUUAAUCAUGUCACGAGUAUAAUAAGCAGGGACGAAAGUAUGUCGCAUGGCAAGUUUCAAAUCAUCCCAAGUAGUAGGUAUAUAAUCAGGGUGUAACCGACAAUAUUCACUCCACCAAACCAAAGCAUAACCAGUGAAAGAACCAACCGCAACCUUAACCUUUUUAUGUUCAUCGAAAUUAUGGAAAGAAAAUAUAUUUUUUAUGUCGAACUCCCAUUCAAUAUAUAAAGCAGGUUUAAAACGGCCAUUAAAUGGUGGUAUAGAUACAUUAACCUGAUCAUGUGCAUUUGGAUGUUUGUGCACCUCUCGUGACGGUUGUGGUAUUUGCAAAGGUGGUGGCACGUCUCCCGCGAUCGACAAAGCCCAUGAAUUGACUCUGGAUCCUGUCAUGAUUAGUAGAACAAGAAACAAAACCCAAAAAUAAUGUUCCUAUAACUACUAGGAUGUGGUGGUAAAACGCUCACAGUAAAGCAAAUAUCAAUGUCUUACAAGUUCUUACCAUGCAGCAGGCGGUGAUCGGCAACCAGCGGUGUCAAGUAACUCUGAAUAUUGAGUAAAGCGAUUGCCAGUGGAGUGUACGUAUACACGGUGUAGAAAUAUGUGGAGCUGGGUUGGCUAUAUAUGGUAGCAAAAGAUUAGCAAUAAUCAAUUCAAAGAUGCAAUGUUGAAUAAACGUUCAACGACGGUACUGUGCUGGUCCUAGGUGAUGAGGACAUGACUACCUUGGAUAUGACCAAAAAUAUUGCAUAUAUGCAUAUUUGUCAGGUGAUUUCUAGUGCAAACUAUUCAAUAAUCUAUUUAUGUUAUCCAGAACAAAAAUACUUCACACACUUUUGUGUUUUGUCUAAUUGCAGGUGUAUGGGACAUUUGUACAAUCCACAUAUGAAGAUAAGGAAGAAAGAGCUGUUUAUUUGCUGUCCAAAAAGUUCUCUCACGUCACUUUUGGCCCAAGAGAAAAUAGAGUCCAAGUCUUUCACGUUCUGGAUUCAGAUUCAGACUGCACAGACACACCUGACUCAAAACGCACACAAGUUUUUCAUACGGACUCCGAAUUGGGUGAUUCUUUUUUUGUUGGAAACUAGAUUUCGUGCACUUUCCAACCCAAUUGGAUUCACCUUCAAAUUCGUCCGGAGCGUUGAGUUGUGGACGAAACAAUCUGAUGCUGCAGCAGAAUCCGAGUCAAACUACAAGUCCAAAGGUGUUACAUCACCUCCACUUGGGCCCAUUGGCCUUGUACGACCUAGAUUUAGUUUUAGGCUGCCUUGGGACGUCGUCCCACCUCCUUGGCCGCCACCCCUUGCUCCUAUAUAAGUAGAUCCAUCUAGUAGCUUUUCCUUGGGAUUUGUUUAGUUAAAAGUUAGCCAUUGCAACUUCGUGUGCUUCGUUUGGGUCCAACGACCAGACCAAGACCACUUUUCGGAUCCCCACCAUUAUCAAUACUUCAUACAUAUUCGCGAUAUUCAGAUUGCUUUUAUCAUAUUCUUGCUUGUUCUUCGAUUGCUUGCAGGAAUAGACCUUCGUGGUCAGGUUGAUCGUGUUCCGGCGUGGUCAAUAACCUCUUGGAGUUGGUUUAGCGAUUACUAAGGCACAACGUCGUUGCACGUUUGUAGUCGGAUCGUCAAAGUCGUCUCCACCAAAUCGAUAGUUAUCAUCUCAUCGAAAGAUCGGGACACCCCGCCUCUAUCAAGUGGUAUCAGUUUUCAGGUUGCUCAGUGAGAUUUUACAGUUUUUCAUAGUUUAGAUCGCAUCUGUCAUUCAUACCUAUAGUCCAUGAAAAAGCCACAAAAAAAGUUAGAUCUGUUCAUCCUUUAUCCAAGCCAGUCUGAGCCUUUGCAAUUUUCUAUUCAUUGCUUGCAUAGUUGAAUUAUCGGUUGCAUCGUCGUGUCAGUUGCUGGUCUUAGUGUCUAGUUACUUUAGAGUUUCGAGUUCUGUCCACAUUAGUCACGCCGCCGCUGCAUCAUUAUCCCUUCCGCCGUCCACCAUCCCAUCUAUUAAUUUCCACCACGUGCUACGCACUGUUCAUUGUCAUAAUCAUAGUUGAGGUCAUUCACAUCUUCGCCUGAUCCAAUCUGCAUCUUAUCUAGUUUGUCUUGGAAAGAGGGAGAAAAAAAAGAGAGAGAAAAAAA